rnacentral:rRNA from 1 species
UACCGUGAGGGAAAGUUGAAAAGAACUCUGAAUAGAGAGUUAAAUAGUACGUGAAACUGCUUAGAGGUUAAGCCCGAUGAACCUGAAUAUCCAUUAUGAAAAAUUCAUCAUUAUACCUGUAAUAUUAAUUUCUGGAUUAAUAUUUAUAGUGAUAGUGUGCAUUUUUUUCAUAUAAGGACAUUGUAAUCUAUUAACAUAAUAAACAUAUUUAUCAAAAGAUCAUUGGUUUUAAGUUUAUUCAAAUUAAUUUGCUUUUAGCUUAUUAACAUAGAAUAAAUAACCUAAUGAUUUGAUAAAGUGUCGAUAGAUUUUAUUAUAUAUAAUGCUAAAAUUCAUAUUUAUAUGGAUUUUACAAUAUUUUUUAAAUAUCUCCUAAAAAAAGAUAAUUAUAAUUUUAUUGUAUGCAUUUAUAUGAUUUACAAUGCGAAAGAUUCAGGAUACCUUCGGGACCCGUCUUGAANCNCGGACCAAGGAGUCUAACAUAUGUGCAAGUCAUUGGGUUAUUUUAAACCUAAUGGCGUAAUUAACUUAACUACAAUUUAUAAUGGGAUUAGUUUUUAGUCUAUUUUUUUAUUAAAAUAGUUCUAUUAAUUCAAUCCCGGGGCGUUCCAUAUAGUUAUGUAUAAUAAUAAUUUAUUAUAAUUUAUACCUCUAACUGGAGCGUACCUUGAGCAUAUAUGCUGGGACCCG